rnacentral:lncRNA from 1 species
AAAUUCUUGGAUGCGACGCAAGAAGCCUGUUUGCUUUUCCUCAGACGUUGUUCAUUAAUAACGGAGUGUUCUGCUCCGUUAGCAACAAGGAGCUCGUACCCGCCUCGCUCAAACAUGAGGUAACGACACGUUGAGAUGUUCAUGGUUAGUAAAUGUCAGUCUCUCAGGUGAACUUUGACGUUUGUAGCGUUCAGAUAAUAAAUGGGCUGUUAUGAUGACUUGUAAGAGCUGAAGGCAGAGCAUAAAGGCUGCCUUGUAAAGGGUGAGAGGUGUUCGUGGGGCUGUGGCUCUGACAUCGCUGGACCUGAGCUUUGUUACAUCAUCAGCAGAUGAGCGGCCGUGGUCGUGCAUCCAGUGUUUGGACUCAUUCACAGCCUGUUCAUGAGUAAACCAGCUUUGUGUGUGGUUGAAGCGCUCGUCUGAGUCUGCUCAGUAGGAAACGUCUCCAUCAGACACUUUUAGGUGAAUCAGUCCUGAAUGAUGAAUCUGUGCCCUGGCUUCACGCUCGUUGCAGAAUCCAUCAUAGUGACUCUUUGCUGCUGCUGUCUGCUAAUUGUGAUGUUUACAGGCUUCUCUCAAACUGAACGUCGUCUGUGGGUCUUUGUGGCCUCGGUCCUGGUCACUUUCCCCUUGUUCCUGUUGUUGCUGAAGACUGCGGCGUGGUUUGGAGUCGAUCCAGUGGAAUCGCUGCUCAAACCAGGGGCACGUUUCCUGCCUUACCACCUGACUGGAACCAUCAGAAACCUGGAGGAACUCAUCGCGCUCCUGUUCAAGGUGUGUAGACGUCUUCCUGGCUUCAGCACCGCACAUUAUUGCUGCUUCAGCUCAUCCUACAACGUACAUGGGACUCACUGCUGAGCCAGCGGGCAGCCAGGGAGCUAAUUAGCUUCCUCCUGUCUGGAGUGUGUGGUCAGAGCAGGUAGCAUCCGUGUGUGUGUGUGUGUGUGUGUGUAUGUGUGUGUGUGUGGUCAGGGCAGGUAGCAUCCGUGUGUGUGUGUGUGUGUGGUCAGGGCAGGUAGCAUCCGUGUGUGUGUGUGUGUGUGGUCAGGGCAGGUAGCAUCCGUGUGUGUGUGUGUGUGUGUGGUCAGGGCAGGUAGCAUCCGUAUGUGUGUGUGUGGGGGGUCAGGGCAGGUAGCAUCCGUGUGUGUGUGUGUGUGGGGGGGGUCAGGGUAGGUAGCAUCCGUGUGUGUGUGUGUGUGGUCAGGGCAGGUAGCAUCCGUGUGUGUGUGGUCAGGGCAGGUAGCAUCCGUGUGUGUGUGGUCAGGGCAGGUAGCAUCCGUGUGUGUGUGGUCAGGGCAGGUAGCAUCCGUGUGUGUGUGGUCAGGGCAGGUAGCAUCCGUGUGUGUGUGUGGGGGGUCAGGGUAGGUAGCAUCCGUGUGUGUGUGUGGGGGGUCAGGGUAGGUAGCAUCCGUGUGUGUGUGUGUGUGGUCAGGGUAGGUAGCAUCCGUGUGUGUGUGUGUGUGGUCAGGGCAGGUAGCAUCCGUGUGUGUGUGUGGUGGUCAGGGCAGGUAGCAUCCGUGUGUGUGUGUGUGGUCAGGGCAGGUAGCAUCCGUGUGUGUGUGUGUGUGGGGGGUCAGGGCAGGUAGCAUCUGUGUGUGUGUGUGUGUGUGUGUGUGUGUGUGUGUGUGUGUGUGUGUGUGUGUGUGUGUGUGGUCAGGGCAGGUAGCAUCCGUGUGUGUGUGUGGUCAGGGCAGGUAGCAUCCGUGUGUGUGUGUGGUCAGGGCAGGUAGCAUCCGUGUGUGUGUGUGUGUGUGGUCAGGGCAGGUAGCAUCCGUGUGUGUGUGUGUGGUCAGGGCAGGUAGCAUCCGUGUGUGUGUGUGUGGUCAGGGCAGGUAGCAUCCGUGUGUGUGUGUGUGUG